rnacentral:rRNA from 1 species
AACGAACGCUGGCGGCAUGCCUAACACAUGCAAGUCGAACGAGACCUUCGGGUCUAGUGGCGCACGGGUGCGUAACGCGUGGGAACCUGCCCUUAGGUUCGGAAUAACUCCCCGAAAGGGGUGCUAAUACCGGAUAAUGUCUUCGGACCAAAGAUUUAUCGCCUUUGGAUGGGCCCGCGUUGGAUUAGCUAGUUGGUAGGGUAAAAGCCUACCAAGGCGACGAUCGAUAGCUGGUCUGAGAGGAUGAUCAGCCACACUGGGACUGAGACACGGCCCAGACUCCUACGGGAGGCAGCAGUGGGGAAUAUUGGACAAUGGGCGAAAGCAUGAUCGAGCAAUGCCGCGUGAGUGAUGAAGGCCUUAGGGUUGUAAAGCUCUUUUACCCGGGAUGAUAAUGACGGUACCGGGAGAAUAAGCUCCGGCUAACUCCGUG